GGCGGCCAGAGCACCUGCGCGUGCUGGGCGACUCGGAGCGCCCACUGCUGGUGCAGGAGCUGUGGCGCGCUGCUUGGAGCAGGAAGCCUUCCGGGGCUGCGGUCAGUGAAGGUACCUGUGCCCCUUUGUGGCAGCCAGAGAAGAACCGUUCCAGAGUUGCUCCUGGUGGGGAGGUGCUGACCAGUCCUGGUUCAGCUGGUUCCAAGGGCGAGGAGAGCUGGGAAAACUUGCCCUUCUGGCGCAGCAUGUCAGAGCUGAGCCUGCACGGUCGACGGAAUGCAGGCAGGAGGCACUGAGCAUGGCCCCAGGGGCAGCUGAUUCCCCAGUAGAUCCUGCAGACCCCGGGAUGUUGAUCAGUUGACUCAUCCAGGCCCCCAGCAAUCACCCCUGCUAUUGUGGGAUUUGAACACAGACAGGGCACCAAGACAUUCAACAGGAAGGAAUUUAUUUAUUUGUGCCUGUAGAGACACAGAGGAUUGUUAUCCAAAGGCUGAGUAUGCAGGGAUGCUGGCCUUAUAUACCUCUGGCAAGCUCUUUGUCUCCCAUAUAAGAUAUGUCUCCAUGUGAUGUGGUGGACUUACUGAGACCAUAGGGCAGGUAACAUCAAGUGCUCAAGUCUCACUCAUGACCUCCCAUGCAUCAAGGAUACUGACACUGGUUGCUUUAGAUUAGUCAACUGUGUAAAUUAAUGGACCUGUUUCACGUCACCUUCUGGUCCCCGAGACUGUUCCCUGGCAGGAAAAAUGAUAAAGUAGGUUGUGGCAACACCUUGGCCUGAUUGAAUCAUGUGAAGGCCUGGGUCACAGGAUGAAGAGCUUAAAUCUAAAAAUGGGAGCCAGAUCAGAUGCUUCCAAUGGCAACAAAAUGCCCUAUCAAAAGGGGGUGAAGAGUGUACAACCAGAGAUAUGAAAAAUUGUGCUCUAUAUGUGUAAUAUGAAUUGUAAUGCAUUCUGUUAU